GAUCUCCACUACUUUUAAAAUGCUCGACCGUCCCCUUGUCCCGGAGGGGUUUUCUGGACACUGUCUGGGAAACGUGCUCUUAUCCGCCUCUUCACUGCUUUUACUCACCGCCUUCCCGGUCACCUGGGUUAUGCGACGGAAGCAGGUUUUUGUGUCUCCGGACGUGGGGUGUCGGCUCCCCAGGUCCGGGACCUUCGCCCAGAAGCGUGUCGGCACGCGGUGGGUGCGGACCCUGCUGGGGGAGCGAGUAGAGGGACGGGAGGCGGGUGAAUGGAGCCGGAGGGAGGGCCCGCGUGGCGGGAAGCUGCUGGACACGUCAGAGGUGUGAGCGCACCAUCCUGCCGUGGAUGGAGUCCCUCCUACGCGCGGGGGCUCCGCUGGGCGCUGGAUCCGGAAGACGCGCUCACUGUCCAUGAGGAGCGUGGCUCCUGCGGAAGCCGGCCGGGGUUGGGGGGCAGGCGAGGAAGGAAGGGGACAAGCAUUUAUCAAGUGACGUAUUUUAUGUCAAGUUUUACGUACGUUGUCUCAUGUGGUCUCCUCAGCGACGCUCCAAGACUGGGAGUAGAAGACCGUCUCUCCCGCGGCAGGUGCGCAUUUAGAGGCUGGAGACGCCUGAAGGGCUUCCCGUGUUCUCCGCACUUGGCAGGUGCUGUUUAAUGGCGGCUGCAACCUCCGUGUGGUGGGCACGGUGCCCUCAGAGCCUGGGACAAAGCUGAGGCCGGGGGGUGGGGAGGUUGGGGCUUGGGUAAUUUGGUCGCAGCCCCCGUCUUGUGAGGAUGGAGUGGGGUCCCGUGGCCGCUGGAGUCCGUAAUGUUCCGUGUGUCUCAUAGGGUCGUGAUGGGGAGCAGACAGGAAGAGGGUCUGAAAUCCAUGACCCACAGUAGGUUCUCCAUAAAAAUGGGCUGAGAGUAUUUGUGGCUCAUGGAGGGGGAAACUGAGGCUCGGGGAUAUUAGGAGACGUCCCUGAGGCCCAGGAACUUAAGCAAGGCCGUUGAGGAUUUGAACCCGGGGCUCUCUGGCCCGGAGCCCCUGUGUUGCUACAUCGUCAGAGCCUAUAAACAGAAGAUGAAAAUGCGGCAGGUCCAGGAGGAGAGGCGGCCAGGGUCUGCCAUGCUGACCUUCGGGACCAAGUAGGACAGGGAACCCUACGGGACCGACGGGGUCUCGCCGAGGAGAUGCAGGACGGCUGCGGAGCUGGAGGAAAUACCCAGAAGGGAAACCGAGGCUCUUUCCUGCAGAGGGAUUACAAGGGCGAGGCACAGAGGUGCUGACAGAGCUGUGGUUGGACGUGAUUCAAGUGCAGGGCAGGAGGGCUCAGACCCUGGGCAGAUAGACCCGGGCCAGGUCAGACGAGUACCCAGUGACCUUGAGCGUCACCCUGGAGAUCCUGCUUCUCAAGCCCGGCUGCACAUUCCACACCUGGGGAACUUAGUCAUACGGCAGAGUCUGGAGCCCCCCGGGCCUGUGCAGAGCGGACGGCCAGCGGGCUGGAGCAGAGAGAGGGAGGGCCCGGAGCCAGAACAGGGGCCUGGUCGUUGAUGACCCUGGAGGGCCAUCAGGAGGCCUCUGGCUUCUCCUCUAAGAUUGUAAGCCGAGUCUGUCUGGUCCCAACAUCUGUGUCCUUGGACGGCGGAGGGAGAGGCUUGACGAGAGCAGAGCCAGGCUUGAAGGGAGAAGCCUCAUCAGGCUGCUGAGAUGGUCCUGGUGAAAAGUCAGGCCCCGCCCAGACUCUGCGCCACGGGAAUCAAGAGGAAACCAGACUCCAGGGAUGCCUGAGGGACAGAAGGACAGGUCCUGCUUGAACUCCUGAGGCAGAGGACAGCGCUCCUCAGCCCAGUUGCUGUGUAUGCCUCGCCUGUGGCGGUGCUGCGCCUGGAAGCAGCCCCAUCCCGGACCUAGCACAGGCCCCACAAAGCAUCCAGAUGUCUUGGUUCGCUCCCAGCAGGACUCGGUGUCUGAGCCAUCACGGUGGGGAGGGGGACAGUCAAGGGAGGAGAAGCAGAAUCAAGGACUGUAGUUAGGGGUACGAGGAGCAAAAAGACCCCCCAGGAGAAUGGGGGGCCACCAGCCCAAUAGGGAGUCGCCCGAGAUGCAGGCCAGGCCUCGGCAGAGGGUGUGGGGGGCGUCUGAACCCUUUCAGCCGCUGUGGAGGUCAUCAUACAAUGUGGCUCCAGUCCUGUCUCUCCAGAAAACAGACCUUGACGCUGAGAGCCACCGCCCCCCCGGUGUUGGGACCACUCCCCCCGGGGGACGUGGAUGCUGGGCACAAGCAAGGGAACAAGGCAGCUGCACGGACACGAAGGCAGACCCAGGCCGUCCCCACCGGCUAGAUUUAAGCUGCUGGAAGUUCUCAUUUUCCAUUUCUAUCUCAUAUUCCAGUUAAAGAAUAAUGACAUGGGGUUACAGAGCAGCCUCCCCCUCCUCAGUAAUUACCAAAUUAACACAAUCUAACAGGCCAGCCCCCGGCAGCGCGCUGAGAUUAAUGCCGAGAGCGAUUAGCCGCAGAGCCUUCCCGGCUGCACUGACCUCCUUAAACAGCCUGAUCCGGUGCGCGGGGUCUCUGGGGCGAGUCCCUGCCGUGCACACUCCCUCCGCCUCAGUUUAAUGGGAUCUGGGGCCAGGCUUAAUGGGCCAGGCGACCCCACGGGUCAGGGAAGCAGCUCCCCCACUCAGGCAGGAAGCUGGAAAAUGAGCCCCAAAUUAAUUUAUUCAGCCAAUUUAUCAGGCAGGUGGGGAAUGAGUGUGCGGACUUGCCUGGCAAGUCCGCAAGAUAAAGGCAGGAAGAGGAUACUGCCUUCUGGAAGGCUGCCGUCCAGGGAGGGGUCGGGAAAAGGAGGCAGUGGCCAGCCUGGUGCUGACCCCAAGCUCUGGACCAAUGCUGGGAUGAUGACCGGGCGCGGACAGUGGCUGUGGGAAGGUGGGGACAGAGGGCACGUUCCCUGAAGCCAGAUCCGUGGAUCCGCAGCAGGAAAUGAGCUGAGAGCCAAACAGUGGCCCAGCUCCGGAGCAGGGGAGCCGAUGUUCACGAGGAAACCAUGGGAAGGAGCAGCUGGGUGUGGCACGGUCCCCGGUGAGUGAUGCCCGGCUCUGGCCAGAAGCACAGUGAUGACAGGGAUGGGGAGAAAGAGGCAUGGUGGGUGGGGGUCGGCCAAGUGAGGGGCACCCCUGGGCUGCUGAUCGCAGGGCAGGUUAGAGACCAGGGAGGAAGCCGGUGCCGGGUCUGGGCAGAAGAGUGCCACUUUGGUCUCAGGGCCAGGGGGAAGGAAGCAGGAAUCCCGAGGAAAAAUCGGUAAGCCUCACACUGAGUGAGACCUGAAGCCCAGGGGAAAGGCAGGUGAUGGCGUCUGGGGCCACUCUCCACGAAGGGGGAGAGUUCAGGGGCAGGAAGCUGUUGGCUGGGGAGGGGUGCGGCGGGAGCUCGGGGGAGCCCGGCAGGGGCUUGGGGGCUCUGCAGGGAGGACAGGGCGGGCAGCCUGCGCUGGACACGGAGGUGCGGGAGGGGCACGUGUGGGCCCCAGGGAGGGUCUGCAGACUCAGGAUUCACCCAACCCAGGCCUCGAAAUCUUAGGAGGAACCUCCACUCUCUGGUCCCCUUCAAUGCACAUCCUGGGGGAGGAGGAGGAGCCCAGAUUCCGGACACCGGGACGUUCAUUCUCCUCAUCAGCCGAGCUCUGACCGCAGACCUGCUCCAGCACAGGCUCGAACACAGCAACGUUCAGAAACCGCUGCUUGGCCUCCGACUGCCUUUGGCUGCGGCACCCGGAACCCCGAUGGGAGGGAGGGUGAUCACCGGGCGGCUGGUGGUGCCGGGCGGCGCUGGGCCCCACGCACGGACAUGAGAAGGAGCUCACGCACUCUGCUUCAGUCCCGGACCCCGGUUUGUGCGGGAGGAAGCUAGCAGAGCGCCGUCUGUCACACAGCUCGUCUCUAUGACCCCAUUUCAUCCUCACGACAGAAGCGCCGUAGGAACCCUCACCCCCGUUUUGUGGACAAGAAAACCAAAGCUUCGCUGGAGAAUCUAUGGAGACCCUUUGUGGUACCUGCUAGGCCGUCUCCGUCCCCACCACCUUGGCCGCCGUCCUCCAGGCCGGGGAGAGCGCAGGCGGCCACGGCCCGCGCCCUGCAUCUUUCAUCCUGAGGCGCGAGAGUCACGUCUUCUUAAGUCGGUUGUUUCUUUUGAGGACAUCUUAACCAAAGCCUCCUGCCUCCAGAGUCCUUUACCAUGACGAAUGUCAGUAACCGUGAUGGCUCCCUGAGGCUGAAUUUUAAAAGAGCAUUAAAGAUUAAAGGACACACAGGUCAAUUACCGGUACAAGUAAAUGACUU